AGAGUUUGAUCCUGGCUCAGAUUGAACGCUGGCGGCAUGCCUUACACAUGCAAGUCGAACGGCAACGCGGGGCAACCUGGCGAAGAGUGGCGAACGGGUGAGUAAUGAAUCGGAACGUGCCCAGUAGUGGGGGAUAGCCCGGCGAAAGCCGGAUUAAUACCGCAUACGACCUACGGGUGAAAGCGGGGGACUCGCAAGAGCCUCGCGCUGUUGGAGCGGCCGAUGUCAGAUUAGGUUGUUGGUGGGGUAAAAGCCUACCAAGCCGACGAUCUGUAGCUGGUCUGAGAGGACGACCAGCCACACUGGGACUGAGACACGGCCCAGACUCCUACGGGAGGUAGCAGUGGGGAAUUUUGGACAAUGGGCGCAAGCCUGAUCCAGCCAUGCCGCGUGCGGGAAGAAGGCCUUCGGGUUGUAAACCGCUUUUGUCAGGGAAGAAACGCUCUGGGCUAACACCCUGGGGUAAUGACGGUACCUGAAGAAUAAGCACCGGCUAACUACGUGCCAGCAGCCGCGGUAAUACGUAGGGUGCAAGCGUUAAUCGGAAUUACUGGGCGUAAAGCGUGCGCAGGCGUCUUGCAAGACAGAUGUGAAAUCCCCGGGCUUAACCUGGGAACUGCAUUUGUGACUGCAAGGCUAGAGUGCGGCAGAGGGGGAUGGAAUUCCGCGUGUAGCAGUGAAAUGCGUAGAUAUGCGGAGGAACACCGAUGGCGAAGGCAAUCCCCUGGGCCUGCACUGACGCUCAUGCACGAAAGCGUGGGGAGCAAACAGGAUAUACCCUGGUAGUCCACGCCCUAAACGAUGUCAACUGGUUGUUGGGAAGGUUCCUUCUCAGUAACGUAGCUAACGCGUGAAGUUGACCGCCUGGGGAGUACGGCCGCAAGGUUGAAACUCAAAGGAAUUGACGGGGACCCGCACAAGCGGUGGAUGAUGUGGUUUAAUUCGACGCAACGCGAAAAACCUUACCUUCCCUUGACAUGUCUGGAAUCCUAGAGAGAUUUGGGAGUACUCGAAAGAGAGCCAGAACACAGGUGCUGCAUGGCCGUCGUCAGCUCGUGUCGUGAGAUGUUGGGUUAAGUCCCGCAACGAGCGCAACCCUUGUCAUUAGUUGCUACGAAAGGGCACUCUAAUGAGACUGCCGGUGACAAACCGGAGGAAGGUGGGGAUGACGUCAGGUCAUCAUGGCCCUUAUGGGUAGGGCUACACACGUCAUACAAUGGCCGGUACAGAGGGCUGCCAACCCGCGAGGGGGAGCCAAUCCCAGAAAACCGGUCGUAGUCCGGAUCGCAGUCUGCAACUCGACUGCGUGAAGUCGGAAUCGCUAGUAAUCGCGGAUCAGCUUGCCGCGGUGAAUACGUUCCCGGGUCUUGUACACACCGCCCGUCACACCAUGGGAGCGGGUUCUGCCAGAAGUAGUUAGCCUAACCGCAAGGAGGGCGAUUACCACGGCAGGGUUCGUGACUGGGGUGAAGUCGUAACAAGGUA
rnacentral:rRNA from 1 species